rnacentral:rRNA from 1 species
GUCGAGCGGUAGCACAGAGAGCUUGCUCUCGGGUGACGAGCGGCGGACGGGUGAGUAAUGUCUGGGAAACUGCCUGAUGGAGGGGGAUAACUACUGGAAACGGUAGCUAAUACCGCAUAAUGUCGCAAGACCAAAGUGGGGGACCUUCGGGCCUCAUGCCAUCAGAUGUGCCCAGAUGGGAUUAGCUAGUAGGUGGGGUAACGGCUCACCUAGGCGACGAUCCCUAGCUGGUCUGAGAGGAUGACCAGCCACACUGGAACUGAGACACGGUCCAGACUCCUACGGGAGGCAGCAGUGGGGAAUAUUGCACAAUGGGCGCAAGCCUGAUGCAGCCAUGCCGCGUGUGUGAAGAAGGCCUUCGGGUUGUAAAGCACUUUCAGCGGGGAGGAAGGCGUUGAGGUUAAUAACCUUGGCGAUUGACGUUACCCGCAGAAGAAGCACCGGCUAACUCCGUGCCAGCAGCCGCGGUAAUACGGAGGGUGCAAGCGUUAAUCGGAAUUACUGGGCGUAAAGCGCACGCAGGCGGUCUGUCAAGUCGGAUGUGAAAUCCCCGGGCUCAACCUGGGAACUGCAUUCGAAACUGGCAGGCUAGAGUCUUGUAGAGGGGGGUAGAAUUCCAGGUGUAGCGGUGAAAUGCGUAGAGAUCUGGAGGAAUACCGGUGGCGAAGGCGGCCCCCUGGACAAAGACUGACGCUCAGGUGCGAAAGCGUGGGGAGCAAACAGGAUUAGAUACCCUGGUAGUCCACGCCGUAAACGAUGUCGAUUUGGAGGUUGUGCCCUUGAGGCGUGGCUUCCGGAGCUAACGCGUUAAAUCGACCGCCUGGGGAGUACGGCCGCAAGGUUAAAACUCAAAUGAAUUGACGGGGGCCCGCACAAGCGGUGGAGCAUGUGGUUUAAUUCGAUGCAACGCGAAGAACCUUACCUGGUCUUGACAUCCACAGAACUUUCCAGAGAUGGAUUGGUGCCUUCGGGAACUGUGAGACAGGUGCUGCAUGGCUGUCGUCAGCUCGUGUUGUGAAAUGUUGGGUUAAGUCCCGCAACGAGCGCAACCCUUAUCCUUUGUUGCCAGCGGUUCGGCCGGGAACUCAAAGGAGACUGCCAGUGAUAAACUGGAGGAAGGUGGGGAUGACGUCAAGUCAUCAUGGCCCUUACGACCAGGGCUACACACGUGCUACAAUGGCAUAUACAAAGAGAAGCGACCUCGCGAGAGCAAGCGGACCUCAUAAAGUAUGUCGUAGUCCGGAUUGGAGUCUGCAACUCGACUCCAUGAAGUCGGAAUCGCUAGUAAUCGUAGAUCAGAAUGCUACGGUGAAUACGUUCCCGGGCCUUGUACACACCGCCCGUCACACCAUGGGAGUGGGUUGCAAAAGAAGUAGGUAGC